AAAAACGAAGAGUUUCGGUAGUGACGCUUUAAGUUGCUCCCACAACUUUCGUAUGCUGCAGCUCUCUUAGCCGCUAGAUUUCUCGCCUUGAGUCACUUUCUACUUCGUACCCUAAGAACCUAUAAUUUAGCCCUCCUAUUCCCACUUUCGCGCUCUUUCCAUUACAGCAUCGUUCUAAUAACUGAAUCGUGUAAGUGAUUACCCAUAACGCAUCUGUCUGUCGGGUGCAUGGGUCUGCCAAGGCACAACUGGGGCACGAACAAGGCGAGAAGCAUUAAGAAAGUUUGCAACUAAGAUGGCUUUGAGAUUUGUCUGCUUUGAGCUACUGGUAGAAUCGCUGCUGUUCGUUUACGUGUUAACGAAAUCCUAUAGGGAACGUUCUUGGACUGUUCUCGUUCCUCAGUCGCUCUCUUCAUCAGGCCCGGGGCUGACGCUUGGUCUCUGCUUAUCACUUUAGUCUAUCGCAUUAGCCAGCAGCCUAAACAGCCCUCACUGAGUCAACUGGCUGGCAUUGUCGGAUACUUUCUCUUGGGCCGCUCGUCCCUUUGAGUCCGUCAAAUUCUCCUUGACUUGUUGUUGUCUAUGCUGCUUCUACAACUAGUUGCGUCGGCAGGCGACAAGGAAUUCUGUUAAGACCGAAAGGCUCCUGUCUUUUUCCUUUAGUCUCUUUGACUGAUUGUCAUGCACUGUUUUCCCUCUUUUCUCGUCUUUUGUUACUUCCCAUUGCCCUUUGUACCAGCCAUGUUACCUACUGUUUUUCAGAGAUCACACUAGUGCUUUUUUGUUAUGCUCGAAACUUCUUUCUCCUCUCAUUUUUCGUCUCUUUCCAUCUCUCAUUUUCCGUUCGCUAGCCCCUUUAAGUUAUUUCUCUUCUUUAUACGCAGACAGAUUGUAUGAAGAUGGUGGAUCGUUAGGCUGGCUGCUUGGUCGCUUAGCGUGAGGGUCAGCAAAUAAGGCAGCGGGCGGUUUGUAGACGACCUAAGCAGAACGCGAUCCCUGGUCUCUCUCUCGCUCACUCUCGAUGGAUGUUAAAUCCGUCUUCCGAUUAUUUGCCCAUUUUCCUAUUUUACUCAUCACUGUUCCGAUUUCGCUGCUCGCCUCCUGGUCGUCGCUGAGCUAACAGUCAGCAAUCCAGUGAGCGUUCUAUACUUUAGGAACUAGCCUGCCCCAAGUCUGAGGUCCUUCUCGAUUUAUUUCAACUCGUCUGCUGGUUAGGCCGCAGUCGUUACCGCUACUAUGUCCGCCUCCCUUCUUCGUUUCUAGUCGCUACCGGCCCCUCAGAUCUAACGGCCGUUUUGCUCUAACAGCACCGACUUGGAAGAUUAUUGCAAAGGUCAAAACGGCCGAAGCCUGCAGUAGCGGCAAUGAAGGAUCUUGUAGAACCUUCCCAUAUCAACCGGCUGAUCCUGCUGCUACCGACGAAGGCUAUGGUAGAAGUGCGCGGCUGGAGCAAACCCUCGCCAGUUUCUUUGGUUCAUUGAGAUUUGCGAGAGCUGAAGAGCCCAUCACAGAGGGGUGGUUAUGAUCCAAAAUGCUUCUGCCUGCGCCCUUCAACGCCGUCGUACCGCUCGAAACUUUUCUCCUGUAUCCCCGUCAGAGACCCUUUCGACCCCCUUAUUCUUCCUGUGCGGCUGACAACGACAGUGAGUGAGGCAUGUCAACUAGGCCAAUAUUUUCGCCGUCUCUUCUGGAGGAACUAAUGAACGACAGAGUUUAAAACUAUUUCAGGUGAUAGCGAAAUGGAUUGAAACGAGGGGGCAGAAUAUGUGGUUUCGGAGGCGAAGGGGGGAAUAUGUCCAGAAGUCAGAGAGUCAGAAGAUGUAAGAAAUUAGCUUCUGGUUGGUAGCAUGUGGGUUACCACGAAGCGGGACAAGCUUUAGUAGCAAAACAUGAAAGCAAGACACUAUGAGACCCCAUUCGUUACGUAUCUAUCGUACACCAGCCAACUGAAGCAAAAGACGACGGCCAAACUUGUAACAGCUAUAACUGUAGCAUUGGAAGUAAUGGCGGUCGGAGCGUGGUAGUUGGUGUUCAGCUCGUCGAGGGGAGGCUACCAAAGGCUUGAGAUGAGGAGAUAAAUAUCUACAAGAAGUAAGAAACUUCUUGUAGAUAUUUAUGGCGCAAAUAUGAUCGUCGUAAUUCUGGCUUACAUAAUAACGGAAUAAGAAUGAGAGAACUAAAAAGUCGAGCUAUCAAGAAACGCUUUAUCGAGACGCAUCGUAACUGCUGAAAUCGAAAAGUGAUACGUACGGUCAGUAAUCGUUUCUUCCACAUGCAACAACGAGGAAGAUGAGAAGUGAAGAUAAAAUAGCGUGUUCGUCGAGGUAACUGUUUGUUACUGGUAGCUAAUUGGGCAUCGGUAAAAGUUUGUGCGCGACGGUACUGCACAUCUGUGGCAUUCGAAUG
rnacentral:lncRNA from 1 species